rnacentral:rRNA from 1 species
UACGGGAGGCAGCAGUAGGGAAUCUUGGACAAUGGGGGCAACCCUGAUCCAGCCAUGCCGCGUGAGUGAAGAAGGCCCUAGGGUCGUAAAGCUCUUUCGCCUGUGAUGAUAAUGACAGUAGCAGGUAAAGAAACCCCGGCUAACUCCGUGCCAGCAGCCGCGGUAAUACGGAGGGGGUUAGCGUUGUUCGGAAUUACUGGGCGUAAAGCGCGCGUAGGCGGAUUGGAAAGUUGGGGGUGAAAUCCCGGGGCUCAACCCCGGAACUGCCUUCAAAACUCCCAGUCUAGAGUUCGAGAGAGGUGAGUGGAAUUCCGAGUGUAGAGGUGAAAUUCGUAGAUAUUCGGAAGAACACCAGUGGCGAAGGCGGCUCACUGGCUCGAUACUGACGCUGAGGUGCGAAAGUGUGGGGAGCAAACAGGAUUAGAUACCCUGGUAGUCCACACCGUAAACGAUGAAUGCCAGUCGUCGGAUAGUAUACUAUUCGGUGACACACCUAACGGAUUAAGCAUCCGCCUGGGAGA